rnacentral:rRNA from 1 species
AACCCUGAGGCGUGAUGACGAUGCACUACGGUGCAGAAGUAGUUGAUGCCAAGCUUCCAGGAAAAGCCUCUAAGCAUCAGGUAACAUUAAAUCGUACCCCAAACCGACACAGGUGGUCAGGUAGAGAAUACUCAGGCGCUUGAGAGAACUCGGGUGAAGGAACUAGGCAAAAUGGUGCCGUAACUUCGGGAGAAGGCACGCUGGCGCUAGGUGAAGAGACUUGCUCUCGGAGCUGAAGCCAGUCGCAGAUACCAGCUGGCUGCAACUGUUUAAUAAAAACACAGCACUGUGCAAACACGAAAGUGGACGUAUACGGUGUGACGCCUGCCCGGUGCUGGAAGGUUAAUUGAUGGGGUCAGCCGCAAGGCGAAGCUCUUGAUCGAAGCCCCAGUAAACGGCGGCCGUAACUAUAACGGUCCUAAGGUAGCGAAAUUCCUUGUCGGGUAAGUUCCGACCUGCACGAAUGGCGUAAUGAUGGCCAGGCUGUCUCCACCCGAGACUCAGUGAAAUUGAACUCGCUGUGAAGAUGCAGUGUACCCGCGGCAAGACGGAAAGACCCCGUGAACCUUUACUAUAGCUUGACACUGAACAUUGAGCCUUGAUGUGUAGGAUAGGUGGGAGGCAUCGAAGCGUGGACGCCAGUCUGCGUGGAGCCAACCUUGAAAUACCACCCUUUAAUGUUUGAUGUUCUAACUCGGCCCCGUAAUCCGGGGUGAGGACAGUGUCUGGUGGGUAGUUUGACUGGGGCGGUCUCCUCCCAAAGAGUAACGGAGGAGCACGAAGGUUAGCUAAUCACGGUCGGACAUCGUGAGGUUAGUGCAAAGGCAUAAGCUAGCUUGACUGCGAGAGUGACGGCUCGAGCAGGUACGAAAGUAGGUCUUAGUGAUCCGGUGGUUCUGAAUGGAAGGGCCAUCGCUCAACGGAUAAAAGGUACUCCGGGGAUAACAGGCUGAUACCGCCCAAGAGUUCAUAUCGACGGCGGUGUUUGGCACCUCGAUGUCGGCUCAUCACAUCCUGGGGCUGAAGUAGGUCCCAAGGGUAUGGCUGUUCGCCAUUUAAAGUGGUACGCGAGCUGGGUUUAGAACGUCGUGAGACAGUUCGGUCCCUAUCUGCCGUGGGCGUUGGAAGAUUGAGAGGGGCUGCUCCUAGUACGAGAGGACCGGAGUGGACGCAUCACUGGUGUUCGGGUUGUCAUGCCAAUGGCAUUGCCCGGUAGCUAAAUGCGGAAAAGAUAAGCGCUGAAAGCAUCUAAGCGCGAAACUUGCCUCAAGAUGAGUCUUCCCUGGGGCUUUAAGCCCCCUGAAGGAACGUUAAAGACUAUGACGUUGAUAGGCUGGGUGUGUAAGUGCAGCGAUGCAUUGAGCUAACCAGUACUAAUGAUCCGUGAGGCUUAACCUU